UGCUGAUAUAGAUACAUGUAUGCUGCACAGGCACAAAGCUGCAAAUGAUGAAGGAGUUAGCAUGAUUAGCUCAUCACGCUGUUGUACAGUGCAAACACGACUGAGGACAAGGAGACAGACGGUGAGACUGCUCAGACACAGGACGGACAAGCAACACAGGAAGAAACAAGGGAACCUGUCGUAGAGGAAAUGGUGGCAGAAACCGCCACAGUAACUGGGGGUAAUGGGAAUCAGCAGUACUCUGCUGUUCUGGAUGCUGCAGACAAAGCAGACGGUCAACAAGAAGCAGACGGUCAACAAGAAGCAGAUGGGAAAACAGAAGGAGAUGGUCAACAAGAAACAAAUGGUCAACAAGAAGCAGAUGCUGGUCAGAGUUCAUAGAAGUUGACAUACAUUUAAAGAGUGUGACGAAGAUUUCAAGGCGAAAAACACUUUCUAUAUAACCAAAAACUAUAUUAUCAACAAAUGCUCAGAGGGUCACAGAGGUCAAGGUGACAAUCAGGACAAGUGUCAAGGUCAAACAGCCAGAAGGAUAACAGUGAGGGACCUUUGAACUUUGAACUGCUUGCAAUGGUGAUGGGAAGCGGAAGUCUGAGUAGGGACGAUGGGUAAUUUAAAAUGGAAUUAGUAAUGUUAGUUGGCUACGGAAGGGAGCAUGGGUGAUUUGUUUCAGUAUUGCCAAGGUCUUGUAUUCUUAUCACAUGACUGGAAAUAUGGGUGAUGUGAUUAAGUCCUAUGUUAAGACCUUUCUCUUGAAUGGCGAUACUGUGAAUGCUUAUAUAUCUACAGGAAGCAUGUCUGUCAGUAUUACAGAUGAGUCAGCAUUACCAAAUUUACCAUGACAUCCUACAACCAUGCCUGUCAGGAAACCUAAGAGGAGCUCCUCUCCCCAGCAUCUUGAUGCUGGUUUCAUACGAUUGUCAGUAUUUUUUUACAAAUGGGUUUUAUUAUUUUUAUGAAGAACACUACUCUCACAGCAUGUUUUUUGAGCAUGGGAGUUGACCUCACUGUUGCUUGUUACCUACUCACGCUGUUAGUCAGCCAUUUUAACCACAAUCCUCUAUAAAAUAUAGGUAACUUUUGUUAUUGAUUUGUUUAUGGCUGCUUUGUAUAAAAUACUGGUUUGUCAUUUGUCUUUAAACAAAUACAAUUUAUGAUUAUAUUCUUGGGGAUGCUUGUAUACUCUCUUUGAUAUUGUUUUCAAACUGAUUCAGGUUAAAUAUAGUAUUGUUUACAAUUAUAAAAGAAAUAUGUCCUCAUCUAACUGGGUGUUCUGUUAGGAUGUUCCGUCCAGACCUUUGUUACUUUUGUUUAUAUCAUUCAGUGAUCUGUGAUAAACAUUUGUUACAUGUUAUUAAGCUUGUCUCAAGUUGCAGCUUCUAAGAUAUUACUUGUUAUGUUGCCAUGGUAACUUCACAUUAUUUUCUGUGAUAUUUGACAUUCUUGUCAUUUUGUGAUAUAAAAGAUGAACAAAUUUGUAUAUAUAUUUUUUCAUUUUUUUUAAUUGUAUGAGGGGUUUACUGCUUUUUGGUCUUUCUUUAAUUUGAGGGAAAGGAAAAUGGUCAAGUUAACAAAGUUAACGUUGGUGUUCCAUUUAGUUCAUAUUUGUUUACCCAAAGGUCUGAGAAUCAACAAUUUCAAGUAAAGAGUUGUGUUCCAUACUAGUGCCAGGAUGUGCUAACUGGGGGGGGGGGGGCUACAGUUGGUCUUUCAGCCCCAUACAUUAAAUGUUGGUGUAAGGAAUGGGAUAAAUAUGGGGUGAAGUACAUGUAGACAGCGAGAUAAGUAAACAUCUACAUGGAGAUAGAAUAAAUGUUGCUGGCAGAAUGGAUUAAACAUCCACAAGUGGGAUCACUUUUUUUUUAUCUGAGGGCUGUGAAAGGGUUUCUCUAUUUUUUGUAAAUAUUGACAUGAUGUAUACAAAGCCAAAUAUAAAAGCUUUUAAACCUUAGCAUUACUUUAAUCAAAAUAUUGACAAAUAAUCUAUACCAUUAUGAUUUUUGUAUGUAUAACUAUGGUUUGGCAAGUAUUUGUAUUGGUAGAAGUAGUUGAAGGGAUGCAGUAUAUUAUGUAAAAACUCUUCAUGUAGAGAUGAUGAUGAUGAUGAACGUACAAGAAAUUACAUUCUAUACAUUUUAUUCUUAUAAGAUAUAUACUUCAUACAACCUAUAUAUAUCUAUAUGUGUGAGCUUUAUUUCUCCAUCCAUUCACAUUACAGAUUUUAGAUGUAUGAAAUUAUGACCAGUAUUAAAUGUCUUGUCCUUUACAUAUACAAACACUUGUCAGCAAGUAGUAUUGUACUGGUUGUUACUCACAUUGUUGAAGCAUUCUGGGUAAUAGUUAUUCUAUAUCUUUUUUAUGUAUUUUCCUGGCCAAUUUGACCAGAAAAUGUGAUAGUACUCAUGUGUAUAUUAUUAUGAUAAUAAAAAUACAAAUAUAUUUUUGACGAAAA
rnacentral:lncRNA from 1 species